AACAUCGCGCACCUGCGGGAACCUGCGGAGGGAUCAUUACCGAGUUUACAAACUCCCAACCCUUUGUGAACCUUACCAUAUUGUUGCUUCGGCGGGACCGCCCCGGCGCCUUCGGGCCCGGAACCAGGCGCCCGCCGGAGGCCCCAAACUCUUAUGUCUUUAGUGGUUUUCUCCUCUGAGUGACACAUAAACAAAUAAAUAAAAACUUUCAACAACGGAUCUCAGAUCGGAAGAGCACAC
rnacentral:misc_RNA from 1 species